GUCUACGGCCAUGCCACCCUGAAUAAGCCCGAUCCCGUCUGAUCUCGGAAGCUAAGCAGGGUUAGUACUUGGAUGGGAGACCACCUAGGAAGACAGGGUGCUGUAGACG
rnacentral:rRNA from 1 species